GCCAGGUGUGGUGGUGCACACCUGUAAUCCCAGCUACUCAGGAGGCUGAGGCAGGAGAAUCGCUUGAACCCAGGAGGCGGAGGUUACAGUGAGUCGAGAUCGUGCCAUUGCACUCCAGCUUGGACAACAAGAGUGAAACUCUGUCUCAAAAAAUAAUAAUAAUUUAAGAAUUAGCCAGGUGUGGUGGCACAUGCCUGCAGUCCUAGCUACUAAGGAGGCUGACACAGGAGGAUCACUUCAGCCCAGGAGUUGGAGGCUUCAGUGAGCUAUGAUUGUGCCACUGUACUCCAGCCUGGGCAAUAGAGUAAGACCCUGUCUCUA
rnacentral:SRP_RNA from 1 species